rnacentral:tRNA from 1 species
AGCUCCGAGGUGUUCGACAUACUAGAUUGCAAAUCUUGAGGGGUAGGCUAAAUCCCUACCGGAGCUU